AGCAGUUCUCUGAAGCAGCCCAGCUGUAUGAGAAGGGGCAGUACUAUGACAAGGCUGCCUCAGUCUACAUACGCUGCAAGAACUGGUCUAAAGUAGGAGAGUUACUUCCCCAGGUCUCCUCUCCUAAGAUCCACCUGCAGUACGCCAAGGCCAAGGAGGUGGAUGGCAAGUUUAAGGAGGCUGUCCAGGCCUAUGAGAGUGCCAGGGACUGGGACAACGUGAUCCGGGUGUUGCUGGAUCACCUCAACAACCCUGAAGACGCCGUCCGCAUUGUCAGGGAGACGCAGAGCAUCGACGGGGCCAAAAUGGUUG